CAUGUAGGGCGCGAGCGUUGUCCGGAAUUAUUGGGCGUAAAGAGCUCGUAGGCGGUCCGUCACGUCCGCUGUGAAAACCCAGGGCUCAACCCUGGGCUUGCAGUGGAUACGGGCAGACUAGAGGUAGGUAGGGGAGAAUGGAAUUCCCGGUGUAGCGGUGAAAUGCGCAGAUAUCGGGAGGAACACCGGUGGCGAAGGCGGUUCUCUGGGCCUUACCUGACGCUGAGGAGCGAAAGCGUGGGGAGCAAACAGG
rnacentral:rRNA from 1 species